AAUGUACUGUGAACCCCAAAGUGUGAGAAUCAUUUUAUCUUUCUUUGGCAGGGCAGUCGUGCACCCCUGAACUCCUAUACUAUAGGAGACAGACACUGCUGGGCGGCGAAGCUGGGACUGACUCAGCAAGGGCAUGGUGACCAUGGAGUUUGAAGCCCCUCCCACCUGCUCCUUCUCAGAGUGUCAGGCUCUGGGCAGGGUUCACCUGCUACCAGAUAUCUGAAGGCAGAGAUUCCAGGCUUGUGUUGUCCUGGGCACCCCAUGGCUGAAGACCCCAGACCUUUCCAUGUUGAAGAGGACUCAGUCUGGGAAAAGAAACAUUAUAUUAUAAUCCAAUAUUAAAACAUGAACCUUAGUUGUGGUGGUUUGAGUAAGAAUAGCUUCAUAGACUAAUGUAUUUGAAUUCUUGGUCACCAGGGAGUGGCAUAAUUAGGAGGCGUGGCUUUGAUAGAGUAGGUGUGGACCUAUUGGAGGAAGUGUACCACUGUGGGUGGGCACAGGGGUUUAAAAUGUUCAAGCUAGGCCCUAAGCUCUCUCCCUGCUGCUUGUCGAUCCAGAUGUAGAACUUGCAGCUCCCUCUAUAGCACUAUGUCUGUCUGCAUAUUGACAUAUUUUCCACUCUGCUGAUGACGGACUGAACCGCUGAUCUGUAAGCCAGCUCCAAUGAAAUGUUGUCCUUUAUACAA
rnacentral:lncRNA from 1 species